UGGAUCCAGACUUUGAUCCUGGCUCAGGAUGAACGCUAGCUACAGGCUUAACACAUGCAAGUCGAGGGGAAACGAUAGAGAAAGCUUGCUUUUUCUAGGCGUCGACCGGCGCACGGGUGAGUAACGCGUAUCCAACCUGCCCAUCACUUGGGGAUAACCUUGCGAAAGUAAGACUAAUACCCAAUGAUAUCCGUCGAAGACAUCUGAAGUGGAUUAAAGAUUCAUCGGUGAUGGAUGGGGAUGCGUCUGAUUAGCUUGUUGGCGGGGUAACGGCCCACCAAGGCAACGAUCAGUAGGGGUUCUGAGAGGAAGGUCCCCCACAUUGGAACUGAGACACGGUCCAAACUCCUACGGGAGGCAGCGGUGAGGAAUAUUGGUCAAUGGACGAGAGUCUGAACCAGCCAAGUAGCGUGCAGGAUGACGGCCCUAUGGGUUGUAAACUGCUUUUAUAAGGGAAUAAAGUGGGAGUCGUGACUCCUUUUGCAUGUACCUUAUGAAUAAGGACCGGCUAAUUCCGUGCCAGCAGCCGCGGUAAUACGGAAGGUCCGGGCGUUAUCCGGAUUUAUUGGGUUUAAAGGGAGCGUAGGCCGGAGAUUAAGCGUGUUGUGAAAUGUAGAUGCUCAACAUCUGCACUGCAGCGCGAACUGGUUUCCUUGAGUACGCACAAAGUGGGCGGAAUUCGUGGUGUAGCGGUGAAAUGCUUAGAUAUCACGAAGAACUCCGAUUGCGAAGGCAGCUCACUGGAGCGCAACUGACGCUGAAGCUCGAAAGUGCGGGUAUCGAACAGGAUUAGAUACCCUGGUAGUCCGCACGGUAAACGAUGGAUGCCCGCUGUUGGUCUGAAUAGGUCAGCGGCCAAGCGAAAGCAUUAAGCAUCCCACCUGGGGAGUACGCCGGCAACGGUGCAACUCAAAGGAAUUGACGGA
rnacentral:rRNA from 1 species